GCCCCAGCCCCAGUCCCAGUGCAGCACACAGAAGAAACUCUUCAUUAGAAGAAACAUUUAUUGAGGAGGAUUAAUAUUCUUGGUUGUGCUGAAGGUUGUUCUCAUCGGAGGAUAUAUUGUCAUGAAAAUUGUGAAGCUUUCUCAAUAAGGACUGAAUGAUUUCCUUACAGAAAUUUUUCUCCCUGGAAGUGCUGGAGAAGCAUUUUCUGCCUGAGUAGAAGAGUCAAAUCACUAAACACAAUACUUUCGUCAGGGUCACCCCUGGUGGUCCAAAGGACCUGGCAUACUUGAUGCACUCAGGCUCCAGAGCAUGGCACAUUCGGUUGUCGGCGCAAGAUCUUCAGCCUUUUCAACAGGCAGUAACUGAAUGAGAAGAGAUGCUGUGGAAGGUGUGAUGUUUUACGACUGCUCAAUGCUAUAAGCUUUUCACCUAUGGCCUUUAUUUACAUGGGGUAUGGUCUCUCUUAAGCCUACACAGCCUCUAAACAACUAUUUUUCCUCAGUAAGUAUCAGCUACUAAUGGUACUGUUCCUCCUUCUGAUUUACUGCAUUUACU
rnacentral:lncRNA from 1 species